GACGAACGCUGGCGGCGCGCUUAACACAUGCAAGUCGAACGGAAAGGCCUGCUUUCCCUUGUGGAUUGCGGGUACUCGAGUGGCGAACGGGUGAGUAACACGUGAGUGAUCUGCCCCCAACUUGGGUAUAAGCCUGGGAAACUGGGUCUAAUUCCCGAUAGGACUGCAGGGUGGUGCCUGUGGUGGAAAACGAUUUUCUAGUGGUUGGGGAUGAGCUCGCGGCCUAUCAGCUUGUUGGUGGGGUAAUGGCCUACCAAGGCGGCGACGGGUAGCCGGCCUGAGAGGGUGGACGGCCACAUUGGGACUGAGAUACGGCCCAGACUCCUACGGGAGGCAGCAGUGGGGAAUAUUGCACAAUGGGCGGAAGCCUGAUGCAGCGACGCCGCGUGGGGGAUGACGGCCUUCGGGUUGUAAACUCCUUUCGACCGCGAGGAAGCCACCUGGUUGGAAGGGUGGUGACGGUAGUGGUAUAAGAAGCACCGGCUAACUACGUG
rnacentral:rRNA from 1 species